AGAGCAGGGCGGGUGAUCGCGGCUUAAGUUUUUAAGCCGAGGAAAGUCGGGACUUUGCAGGGCAAGCUGGCCGCUAACAGCGGCGCCGGGCGACCGGCGGAAAGUGCCACAGAAAAGAAACCGCCUGCUCUUUCUUAAAAGCAGGUAAGGGUGAAAAGGUGGGGUAAGAGCCCACCAGCAAGAAGGGCAACCUUCUUGGCUUGGUAAACCCCAGCUAAAGCAAGGCUAAGCAGGAAAGAGCUUCCCUAUAGUUAGGGAAGAAGCACUGCCCGUGCUGUAAGAUAGCUCUUACUCUUUCCGGGUAAGCCGCUUGAGCUCUGCAGUAAUGCAGAGCCUAGAUAAAUGAUCACCACCCCUUUUUUAGGGGCACAGAAUCCCGCUUAUAGCCCAGCUCUUCCU
rnacentral:RNase_P_RNA from 1 species